rnacentral:rRNA from 1 species
UACGGAGGGGGCAAGCGUUGUUCGGAAUUACUGGGCGUAAAGGGCGCGUAGGCGGCCUGUUAAGUCGAACGUGAAAUCCCCGGGCUCAACCCGGGAACUGCGUCCGAUACUGGCAGGCUUGAAUUCGGGAGAGGGAUGCGGAAUUCCAGGUGUAGCGGUGAAAUGCGUAGAUAUCUGGAGGAACACCGGUGGCGAAGGCGGCAUCCUGGACCGAGAUUGACGCUGAGGCGCGAAAGCCAGGGGAGCAAACAGG